rnacentral:rRNA from 1 species
UACGUAGGGGGCGAGCGUUGUCCGGAAUCAUUGGGCGUAAAGCGCGUGUAGGCGGCCCGAUAAGUCCGCUGUGAAAGUCCAGGGCUCAACCCUGGGAUGCCGGUGGAUACUGUCGGGCUCGAGUCCGGAAGAGGCGAGUGGAAUUCCUGGUGUAGCGGUGAAAUGCGCAGAUAUCAGGAGGAACACCUAUUGCGAAGGCAGCUCGCUGGGACGUCACUGACGCUGAGACGCGAAAGCGUGGGGAGCAAACAGG